rnacentral:rRNA from 1 species
AGUGAACGCUGGCGGUAGGCCUAACACAUGCAAGUCGAACGGCAGCACAGUAAGAGCUUGCUCUUACGGGUGGCGAGUGGCGGACGGGUGAGGAAUACAUCGGAAUCUACUUUUUCGUGGGGGAUAACGUAGGGAAACUUACGCUAAUACCGCAUACGACCUACGGGUGAAAGCAGGGGAUCUUCGGACCUUGCGCGAUUGAAUGAGCCGAUGUCGGAUUAGCUAGUUGGCGGGGUAAAGGCCCACCAAGGCGACGAUCCGUAGCUGGUCUGAGAGGAUGAUCCGCCACACUGGAAAUGAGACACGGUCCAGACUCCUACGGGAGGCAGCAGUGGGGAAUAUUGGACAAUGGGCGCAAGCCUGAUCCAGCCAUACCGCGUGGGUGAAGAAGGCCUUCGGGUUGUAAAGCCCUUUUGUUGGGAAAGAAAAGCAGCAGGUUAAUACCCCGCUGUUCUGACGGUACCCAAAGAAUAAGCACCGGCUAACUUCGUG